rnacentral:rRNA from 1 species
CCUACGGGAGGCAGCAGUGGGGAAUAUUGCACAAUGGGGGAAACCCUGAUGCAGCGAUGCCGCGUGGAGGAAGAAGGUUUUCGGAUUGUAAACUCCUUUUAUCAGGGACGAUAAUGACGGUACCUGAAGAAAAAGCUCCGGCUAACUACGUGCCAGCAGCCGCGGUAAUACGUAGGGAGCGAGCGUUGUCCGGAUUUACUGGGUGUAAAGGGAGCGUAGACGGUUAAUCAAGUCAGAAGUGAAAACCCAGGGCUCAACCUUGGGACUGCUUUUGAAACUGAGUAGCUAGAGUGCAGGAGAGGUAAGCGGAAUUCCUAGUGUAGCGGUGAAAUGCGUAGAUAUUAGGAGGAACACCAGUGGCGAAGGCGGCUUACUGGACUGUAACUGACGUUGAGGCUCGAAAGCGUGGGGAGCAAACAGGAUUAGAUACCCCGGUAGUC